rnacentral:rRNA from 1 species
UACGAGGGGUGCAAGCGUUGCUCGGAAUUAUUGGGCGUAAAGGGUAGGUAGGUGGUCUCAUUUGUCUGGGGUGAAAUCCUUGGGCUUAACCUAAGAAGUGCCCCAGAAACGGUGAGACUAGAGUACUGGAGAGGGUCGUGGAAUUCCCGGUGUAGCGGUGAAAUGCGUAGAGAUCGGGAGGAACACCAGAGGCGAAGGCGGCGACCUGGACAGUAACUGACACUCAACUACGAAAAGCGUGGGGAGCAAACAGG